GUGGCUGUGGCUCAGGGGUAGAGCACACGCUUGGCACACGUGAGGCACUGGGUUGGAUCCACAGCACCACA
rfam:Ictidomys tridecemlineatus contig029817, whole genome shotgun sequence.